AUUGAACGCUGGCGGCAUGCCUUACACAUGCAAGUCGAACGGCAGCGGGCCUUCGGGUGCCGGCGAGUGGCGAACGGGUGAGUAAUGCAUCGGAACGUGCCAUUGAGUGGGGGGAUAACGUAGCGAAAGUUACGCUAAUACCGCAUAUUCUGUGAGCAGGAAAGCAGGGGACCGCAAGGCCUUGCGCUCUUUGAGCGGCCGAUGUCAGAUUAGCUAGUUGGUGAGGUAAAGGCUUACCAAGGCGACGAUCUGUAGCGGGUCUGAGAGGAUGAUCCGCCACACUGGAACUGAGACACGGUCCAGACUCCUACGGGAGGCAGCAGUGGGGAAUUUUGGACAAUGGGGGGCAACCCUGAUCCAGCCAUGCCGCGUGAGUGAAGAAGGCCUCGGUU
rnacentral:rRNA from 1 species